rnacentral:rRNA from 1 species
GAUGAACGCUGGCGGCGUGCUUAACACAUGCAAGUCGAACGGAAAGGCCCAAGCUUGCUUGGGUACUCGAGUGGCGAACGGGUGAGUAACACGUGGGUGAUCUGCCCUGCACUUCGGGAUAAGCCUGGGAAACUGGGUCUAAUACCGGAUAGGACCACAUUUUGGAUGGUGUGGUGGAAAGUUUUUCGGUGUGGGAUGAGCUCGCGGCCUAUCAGCUUGUUGGUGGGGUAAUGGCCUACCAAGGCGUCGACGGGUAGCCGGCCUGAGAGGGUGUACGGCCACAUUGGGACUGAGAUACGGCCCAGACUCCUACGGGAGGCAGCAGUGGGGAAUAUUGCACAAUGGGCGCAUGCCUGAUGCAGCGACGCCGCGUGGGGGAUGACGGCCUUCGGGUUGUAAACUCCUUUCGCUAGGGACGAAGCGUUUUUGUGACGGUACCUGGAGAAGAAGCACCGGCUAACUACGUG